rfam:Gasterosteus aculeatus cont1.008692, whole genome shotgun sequence.
UAAAAGGCUCUUUUAAGAGCCACCCACUCCUUCCUCAAAGAGCUUU